rnacentral:rRNA from 1 species
UACGGAGGGGGCUAGCGUUGUUCGGAAUUACUGGGCGUAAAGCGCGCGUAGGCGGACCUGCAAGUCGGGGGUGAAAGCCCGAGGCUCAACCUCGGAACUGCCUUCGAUACUGCGGGUCUCGAGUCCGGGAGAGGUGAGUGGAAUUCCUAGUGUAGAGGUGAAAUUCGUAGAUAUUAGGAAGAACACCAGUGGCGAAGGCGGCUCACUGGCCCGAUACUGACGCUGAGGCGCGAAAGCGUGGGGAGCAAACAGG